GACGUAGGGGGCCAGCGUUGUUCGGAAUUACUGGGUGUAAAGGGUUCGUAGGCGGUGUGGCAAGUCGGGAGUGAAAUCUCUGGGCCCAACUCAGAGACUGCUUCCGAAACUGCUGUGCUGGAGUGUGGGAGAGGCGCGUGGAAUUGCAGGUGUAGCGGUGAAAUGCGCAGAUAUCAGGAAGAACACCAAUGGCGAAGGCAGCUCUCUGGGACGGUACUGACGCUGAGACGCGAAAGCGUGGGGAGCGAACAGG
rnacentral:rRNA from 1 species